GGGUCGGUGGCGUAGUUGGUUAUCGCAUCUGUCUAACAUCGUGCAAGUUCACAGAAGGUCCUCAGUUCGAACCUGGGCCGACUCA